rnacentral:rRNA from 1 species
AGUGAACGCUGGCGGUAGGCCUAACACAUGCAAGUCGAACGGCAGCACAGUAAGAGCUUGCUCUUACGGGUGGCGAGUGGCGGACGGGUGAGGAAUACAUCGGAAUCUACUUUUUCGUGGGGGAUAACGUAGGGAAACUUACGCUAAUACCGCAUACGACCUACGGGUGAAAGCAGGGGUUCUUCGGACCUUGCGCGAUUGAAUGAGCCGAUGUCGGAUUAGCUAGUUGGCGGGGUAAAGGCCCACCAAGGCGACGAUCCGUAGCUGGUCUGAGAGGAUGAUCAGCCACAUUGGAACUGAGACACGGUCCAGACUCCUACGGGAGGCAGCAGUGGGGAAUAUUGGACAAUGGGCGCAAGCCUGAUCCAGCAAUACCGCGUGGGUGAAGAAGGCCUUCGGGUUGUAAAGCCCUUUUGUUGGGAAAGAAAAGCAGCAGGUUAAUACCCCGCUGUUCUGACGGUACCCAAAGAAUAAGCACCGGCUAACUUCGUG